rnacentral:lncRNA from 1 species
UCAGUUUCUUGGUACUCGGGAGCUGGUGGUUUCCAUCUGCUCUUGGCCAGUCUUCUUCGUAUAGAUUGCCACAAUUUGUAGCAGGAAACCAAUUUGUUGACUCUAGAAAUCUUUCACCUUUUUACUAAUAUUAGAAAUAUAUGCUGGUCAAUACAAUCCCUAUCGUGAUUGAAUUGGUCAAACUUGACACAAUCAUCCUCGCCUCUGGUCUCUUUUUGUUCAUCUUCUCCCUCCCAUUUGCUAUGGAAGUUGGGCGCCGCCCCUUGAGCAGGCCCAGGCGGAGUCAGGAGGGAGCGGAAGGCUCUGAUGUGGCACCUACAGGCCACCGAGGAGCGCUUCCAGUAGGGUGAGGCGAGGGAGGGCCUCCAAUUGGGAAUGACAGAUGAGUCAUGUUGGAAAUUGCCUGAAACCUCGUCUCCUGUAUUUAGCAAGAGAUUUAGAUAAUAAAUAUGGUGCUCAAAGAUCGUGCCUGUGAUGCUCUCCCACCACUUGAUCAACAGCCACAGCAGAUGCCAUCCUUCAGCUUCAGCGAUUGAAGGACCUACUGGUUGCCCACAGCAGAUGUCACCACCUGAUCUUCAUCUGCAGUGACAACGGUAAGGGCAGGUACCUUGUUGAUUCAGACAACUCUAGAAGCCUCCAGUUGUGGAUGAAUUUUCUUUCCCUUCAGUUCGCCCUUCAUAAUCAAAGCUGAUCUGAUCAUUUUACCAUGAUUUUCGUUUACAUAUGCGUUGGUGAUGGUUGGUGGAAAGUCCUGUUUUGUUUUCUUUCUUGUUCUUCUCAUUGUGGCUUGUUUUAUCUCUUCGGUCGUCCAGCGCUGCCCAUUUAUUUAAUCUUAUCGUUAAUGCCCACUUCCAGAGUACCAUAGACUAAUCUUUAUUCGGACGUAUACAUAACUCGGUGCUAUGGGCAUUAUACUCUUCAAUGAUUUUUUGAUCAUUGUCCUCAUUCCCAUGUUGAUUAAAUGGUAAAUUACACUUCGUAUUGUUGGAUCGUCCAGUGUAUAUAUUUUAACCAUAAUGAAGGGGAAGCACACGCUAUGUUAUAGUGACCUGACUGCCAUCUUUCUAAGGGAAACAGUGAUCCACUUAGUGCAGGGUACAGAAGACCUUGCUAUAAUCAAACUCGGGAAGAAAGGUCCCCACUUCAGAGAAUGUAUGAGCAUCUUCAGAUAUUCGUGCUUUCUGUUACUUUAAUUUUUUAAAUUAUUGAUCGACAACCUUGACAUAGAGGCUUGGUAGAUGAAGUUUAUUGAUCUGCUUCGUUAGACCUCCCUCUUUGGUGCAGGGAUGCAUAGAUCAUCUUCAACUUGUUUAUUUAUUCUUUUUGGGAACAGCCCUUUUUAAAAAUUGGUUGGAUUUAUUUCCCUGCACUUAGUCCCCAUGCAUCAUGAUCUGAGAUGAAUGUUGAUAACUCCAAGGUCACUUGAGCUCCAUCGUCGUCCUUGGGCCACCUGCUAGCCGCGUGAGAAGAGAAAGACAUCCGGAAGCUUUGGGUAUAAUGAUGCAAUUACCAUAAUCACAAUCUAAACAACAUCAUCUUCCAUUACCCAAGAAAAAAAAAAAAAGUUUGGUUGCUCGCAGGCAGAGCAUCUGGCGUCUCCUUCUGAGACUCCCCAGCUCACCACCCCAUUGAUGGCUGGCUACUUGGACAUACCAUCAAUUCGUGAGUCAUUAAAUGGCAGAAUCAUUCAUGAUCUUUGCCCGCUGUUGGGAUCUGGCCAAAAGAGAGCACAUUUCACCUGCUGCAAGGGGAGGGAGUCGGGUUUCUCAAGACAUAGACUCGUCAGAUCGUGAUCAGUUGUGCCAGUAACAUUCACAUCUCCUGGUCCACUGUUUGUCAGCUGUCAGAAUUGUGAUAUUCAUCAGAUGCUUCUCAUGUUGACCACAACCUUGGUAACUUUGAUGGGAUGCAUCCCUUUGCAGCCUAGAUUCUGUAGAAGCUGAUGUUCAUGCUAAAAGGUUUGUGUCAAUGCCUACACAUUAAUUUGUUGGAUCAAUCUGCAACACCCUCUCCUGCGCUGUUUUCAACAUGAGACUAAUUAUUUGCUGAUAAUGCUCUUAUCCUGGUUGCUAUUUUCAGCUCUUUUGUCGCCCUGUUCGCUCCAUGUUCUUGAUCUUUACCUGGUUGGUAUUUCUAGACUUCCUUCUUACAUAGGUAAUAAUUGGGGUUUGUAUCAAUACCCCCUCCGUCUGAUUCCACCUGGUCCUCUAGGUGGAACUCAGGGAAUUGGCGUAUGGUAUUACUAGCCAAUUCCCAUGAAUCCUCAUAUUCAAGCAAGUCUUCCCACUAGAUUAAGAGUUUAAGGCCAGCUGGUGUCCAGUGACUGUCUUUGACUCUAAGAGGUCUUGCUGUCUACUCCAAUUCCUUGGUCAAGGAGGGUGAUAUCUCUUGAACUGUCUCAGUUAAUUCCACGGCUCUCCUUAAUUGAGAGACGUGAAAAACCAGAUGAAUAGCUGCUGACGGGGGAAGCUCCAGCCCUUGAUGCUUAUCUACCUUAUCCUUCAUUUGUUUCUAAGAAUGUUGUAAAUGGGUUUUGAAGAGGGUUAUGAUUAGGUCCCUUUCUUGUAACUGUUGAUCGAUUGUUGAUAUUGGUGAAGGGAAAGGCCCAUAAUUGAUGAUAUGUGGUGGAUCUCAUCCAUACAGAGCCUUGAAUGGGAUUGUUUUGAUAGAGGAAUGGUAGGCUGUAUUUGUGAAGGAUCUUUGAAUGGGGAAGUUCGGUAGAGAUGCUUGCGGAGCGGGGGACUUUAUACACUAAAAGAUGAAUUGAUCUAUGCCCUCACCUUCUCCAGGUCUUCAAAAGUUUCUGCCACCACUUGGCACCAACUAAACUUAUGCGAGCUUUGCCCAAUACAACCAAGAAUUCCACUCCUUGGGUUUAUCUAAAAUAAAGUAUUGCAAGUACGCUUCUAAUGUUCUUCUAUUUGAUACUCUGUAUUAGUAAAAGUAAUAUGGUAGUGAUUUCUCAAUUCUUUUCCUUUUGCUAAUGAUAUUUCAUUCUUCUUGUUAAUGUCUCCUGCAUAAUUGUAGGUGGUCAUUCGAUUGUCUUGCUCUCUGUGUCUGGAGGAGGUAGUGGAAUCAAAACCUUUGAAAGUGUUAGAUAAAUCUUAUCUUGAUGGUCUAGGAAGGUGUUUAUCCCAUGUAUUCCAUAAGGUGGUGAUCAUAUGCUCAACUUCAAUAGAUGCAUCCAUUAUAUCUAUAAGGCCCUUUGGAUUCAUCUGUGCCAAUUCUUUUUGCACUUUUGGCUUUAAUCCUUUGAUAUGAUUGUUCUCUAUAAUAACAUCUGUGGCUGUUGUGCCUAAUUGUCUUCCAAGCUAAAUCUUGAAAUCAUUCCAAUCUUGGAAAGAGUUUCGAUCGUCCCUCCACUAAUACCAAUCAAAUGCUGUUGAUUAUAGCUUAAUUAUAGCCAUUUCGAGUUGAUCACGAUCCUCCACUCUAUUGAUUUUGGAGAAUCUUUCUGUGUAACAUAUCUGUCCUUUUAGAUUUUUUCCCCUGAAUAUAGGUAUCUCUCCUUUCUUGCUAAAUGUAGUAAUUUCUUGACAUACUGUUAAAUCAGUUGAUGUAGAUUCUUGGGGGUGUAUUGAUGAUUGAAAAGUGGGGCAAGGUUCCAUAGGAGGUUUUUGAACAGGUGCUUUCUCAUGCUGAUCUAGAAUUUCUUUUAUUUCUAAAGCAUCCAUGUGGGGAGAAAUCGUUUCCUAGAGCUGUUGCAUAGUAUGGAGUCAUUGCUGCAUCAGUUCGUUAGAUUCCUCCCGAGAUCUUUGCAUUUCUUCCUUGAUCUUUCUUUGUUCCAUCUUCACAGUGUUGUAUGCUGCUUUUAGGGCUUCAAUUUGUGCAUUUGAAAGCUUGGGGGCCAUUGAAUGUGUUAGAUCGUUGGCUCUGAUACCAAAUGGUACGAUCCUCUCUGGAAUACCCUGAUCAGGAUGAUCAGGAAUGGAUUUGAGAGGCUCUUUUGAGUAGAAUUAGUUUCUGGAUCGAUUCUUGAGAGGAUUGAACCGAGAAUAGUAUUUGGAAGAUUAGGUUCUUGUGGAGAUCAAUGAUUUCCACGGAACUAGGGGACAGAGAUACGAGAGUGAGGGUGGGAAAAUGGGAGAACAAAAACAAGGAAACAAAUGGGAAUUGAUUCAAGAAGAUCCUCAUCCUCUCUUUCACGUGACUCUUCGCACCCCCUUUAGUUGGACUCUUCUCUCUUAUAUAGAUCUCGUGAUUUGAUUUGAGCCGUCAAUGCUUCUUUUAAAAGUUGUAUUUGGGCUGUUUGCUGUCUUCCUCCUUUUAAACUCUUGUUCUUAUACUUCCUUCUUACAUAUGUAAUAAUUGGGUUCGUAUCACAUUCCCCCCCCCCCCCCCCCCCCCAACUAACUCAGUGUUUUGUGCGUGGUGCCCUUCUGUGUCAUUUAUCCUCAUAACUUAUUUAUCCUCUCCUCCCCUCCUUGCCAUGUUGAAUUCAUCAUUUUCUGUAGAAUUUUCCCCACAUUAUGGGUAAACGGUGUCUUCAUUCGAUUCGGAUGCCUUUCCCUUGAAUCUCUGACCAUUUUGAUGUGAGAUUUUUGAGGCUGCUCUUAAAAGCUGAUCUGAUUAUGAUCCAGUUCAUAACAAGGAAAAUCCAUCGCAUUAUGUAAUACCUUCUUUGCAUUCUUUCUUAAGAUAGAUAGAACUGGCAGGCUUCCUCCAAUUCUCCUGCAUUCAUGGGGAAUCUUUAACGUAGGGGAAGAGUCUCAUGAACAAGAUCAAACGUUAUCUGCCAGAUUUUUUGCUGCAAUAGGAGCCCGAGAGAUCCAGCAACAGACCAGCCGGUCCAGCAAGUGACAAGAAGCUGGCCAAGGAAAAACCAGAAAGAUUGGACUUUUCGAAGAUUCAAACCAUCAGGUUCUCUUGAUGAUGGGCAGUCGAGAGAGAAAGUCAACCGUUGAAAGCUCUUGUAAGCAGCUAUCUGGGCCAAGAAGAUGCCUGCCCUCGAUGUAAAUCCUCCGCAGAAGAAAGAAUCAUUAGACAGACAUACAAGCACAUUCAUGAGUCAUGUAUCCUAGUCCUCCCACUGGCCGAACACUUGAGCGCCUUGGGAACGCAAGGAGUCAAUGU